rnacentral:rRNA from 1 species
CACCGCGGUUAUACGAGGGACCCAAGUUGAUAGCCUGCGGCGUAAAGCGUGGUUAAGAUAAAAUUAUAGUAAAGCCGAACAUAAACAGUGUUGUUAUACACCAACGGCAACAGGAAGCCCAAUUACGAAAGUAGCUUUAUAUAACUGAAGCCACGGAAGCCAGGGAA